GUCCAUUGAUACAAGGCACAAAACACAUAAUACAAACAUGCAGAUAAACUCAUUUAAAUAUCGUUUUUUGUAGUUAGUGAUAUUUAAGGUAUUUAUUUAAGAAAAUGUUGGAAUAAACGCUGUAAUAUUGUUAAUGUGAUGAACAUCAGCUGUUUGGGUGGUUUGGCUGAAAUACUCAAUAGUGCCCUAACUAGUAAAUAGGGAGCCAUUUCGGUCACAGCCAGUGUUUCGGAACACCGUGAUUCAAAUGAAUCGAUUCAGUUCGAUUCCGCGUUUAGAGUUUGUCUUUACUAGUUUUUACAGCUUUUUUAGACUUUAUUGUGCUCUACAUUACCUCUCUGUUUGAUUACAGAGACGGAGGACCAGCUGGUCCUGAGCUGGAUAUUUUAACAGGUUUUACCGCGCGAUAAAAUAAUGGACUUGUUUGAGUGGCGGAGAAAGCGAUUGGCAGCGAUGGUGCGUCGCUACAGCUUGAACGUACCGUUACUGAAGGCGAGCGGCUGGUGGAGAAAUGGAGAUUCAGUAGAGGAAACUCGUUACCCAUUCUCACCAGAGAGGGGCCUCAAUCCCUACAUCCCCCAAAUCCCAAAACUUGCGGACAUCAGCUUUAAAAAUUCUGCUGUGUUGGGGUCCUGUUUUAUAGAAAACGUGAAAUAUGCCACAUUUAAAGUAAGGCACAGAAAAAUGGCUUACUAUAGCUAACAACACAUUUCGCAGUGCAAAAUAUGUCGGCGCUGCUUCCAACGCUUAAUACAGCGUAACUUCCCUAGUUAGUUGGUUAGUUAGCUUCCUAGCUAACCGACCAGGCUAGCUAGUCAGACGAGAGGAAAGCUAUCUAGUUACUCGGUGAAGAAUGAACGUUAAUUUUCAGUCACGAAUUACCAACCAGGUAAUUAUACUGACACUGAGAUUUAUACAGAAUGAGAGUUUGUGCUUGUGGUUGUAAAAAAAAAAUCCAACGAAGUUUAGUUAGCUCAUUAGCUAACCACAGCGUGGGAAUGCUCACUGAAUGUGAGCUGCUCUCUGAAAACAGUAUCUGCACAUUCAGGCAAAAGAGUCUGCAGGAUGUUCCUCAAAACUCUUCUGAGAUCAUUCACUCGACUGUGUGAGCAGGGCCUAAUCAGCCUGACGUUGUCUGCUGACACGACGCGAAGAGAAGCCAAGGAACAGGAGUCAGGAGAUCAUCCAUACAACCAAAACUCAGCGCUUAGUCGUCGCUGAGGGCAGAGGCAACCAGCGCACCCUCCUCCCCUUUCAGACCAAUGGCAGGAAGGGACCAUUCCCCUGUUCACAGUGGUAUUUAGCACUCCUGAGUCAGCAAAGCACUGGACUGACUGUGAUGGACGAGGGGAGGGACUGAGAAUGCCCAGUGCAGAGACUCAAGACCACCAUACUACUGUUGCACCCUAAGGGAAGGAUUGUUAAACCAUACCUGUAACGGUGCACUGUGAUGGAGCAGUGCUGCAGCAGUGAGUUAGGGGUGUGAAGCUGUGAGGGUCUGGG